UACCCACUCAGGGAGGCUGAAUCUACACUGAGAAGGAAGAAGCAUCGUCUCAUCCACGUCACCAUGAAGCUGCUGGCUGUGUCUGCUCUGGUCUGUGCCGUGGUGGUUCUGACCAACGCUGCUGCGUACCAAUGAUCUGUUCAAGAGGCAUACUGGGGAGUGGACCAUCGUUGGGAAUCAUCAGUACCUCUAUGUUGACUAUCCCCAAACCUGGUCUCAAGCUGAGCAAAACUGCCACCAGCUGGGAGGUCAUCUGGCAUCUGUGCAUUCACACCUUGAAAACCAUCAGAUCGCACUGCUGGUGACCAGAAUGACUGGUGGGAAUCCCAGGGUUUGGCUGGGAGCCUCUGACCAGCAUCGGCUAACCAAUGCUGGGAUGACGUUCAGUGCAGCACUCCUUUUCCCUCCAUCUGCUGGAAGCCCAAGUAACCAUAAACAUGAGCCAACGCCAUGAAGGACGGUGAAGAAGCACCAACACUGGUGGAAAUGUUACCCAGCAGUCUAAUUUGACCCAUAGCUCUAUAUCUGAUCCUUCUCUCUACUUUUCUUUUCUAUCGCUGUAACGCUGACAAGGAAUGAAGCGACAAGUGACAUCAACACAAGCUGGAUGGUCUCUGAGGGCCCCGACGAGAUCAGACUGGACGGGUUAUAGAAAGGAUGCUUCACGCCAAAACUUUUCCUCUUUAUUCUACUGAUCUUUCUGACUGUGCAAAAUAAAAAACGCUUCAAGCAUUCACAAAGACAA